ensembl:lncRNA
GUCAAAAUCAGAUUGCAAGAUUUUGUUAGAAGUUAGGUGGGAAUUUGCAUUUACCUAGGACAGGUUGCCUUGCUAUGAGUAUAGCACACGCAAUCAACAUUUAGCCCACGCAAUCAACAUUUCUCACUGUACCACGCUUUUCAGGGGUGAGGUUGGUCUCAAAGUCCCUGGAUCAAACCUGUGAAAUGAGGCUGGUUUUCACUACAGCAGGUAAAAGGUGUGCCUCUUCAUCCAACAUAUGGUUUUCUGUCACAAAAAAAAAAAAAAAAAAAAAAACUGAUCAGGCUACGGGAGGUUGAUGUGCCUGAGGUUCAUUUUCUCACACAACACAACGGCCUGCAUGUUUCCAAUAAAGGUCAAAAUCAGAUUGCAAGAUUUUGUUAGAAGUAAGGUGGGAAUUUGCAUUUACUUAGUACAGGUUGCCUUGCUAUGAGUAUAGCACACGCAAUCAACAUUUCUCACUGUACCAGGCCAAAGAAGUGCCAGAAUGUCCCACGCCGCAUCUAGCAUAAUCUCUGGAAUGCUGCGAGUCAUGAUCCUACUCAAGUCAGCACGCUGGCUUACUAUAGCUGGCUUCCAAGUUUGCCAUGUGGAAAGCAAAACGAGGCAGGCCGAAAGUGUGCCGGCGCCUCCCGCUCGUGGUCCAGCAGCUGAUUUUCUGGCAGUGUAACAGGUCUGUG